GUCCGGGGAACGGGAAGCCCUGGGAGUGGGGGUGUCCCGGGGAGCGGGGAGCCCCGGUAGCCGGUCCCUCCCGGCCCUGCCGCCCGGCGGAGGGGCUGCGGGGAGGGCCGGCCCCUGCUCCGCUCCGCGCCCCCCCAGCUCCGGGUCCCCCGCGGGGGCCGUGCCCCGGGACGCGACCGUGGGGUGGGUCACGGCACGGCAGCUCCCCGCGGCUCCCUGCUGAGCCCCGAGAGGUUCCCCGGCCCCGGCAGUGCCGGCGCCAGCAGCCAUCUCGCACAGUUUAGUUAUUUUUAAACUCAUACAUAAACAUCGCAACCAGUAUGAAAGGCAAUCAGAUUAUAUUAUGGCCAAGCCUUUUACCGGCGUUCGGUUGUUAUUUGUGAAAGCACAAAUAGCUCAUCUUAAAUUAGGCACUAGUACUCGCUGCUGACUUUUAACCUUACUACUGUAAAGACAGCUGCAUUGAUUUUUAUUCAACUAUUGUAAUAAAAUAAGGACUUGAUUUAAAUUAGCGGGUAGCUGGGAAGUCGAUGUAUAGCGAUUCCACAGCGUUUCAGAAGCUCCCCGCUGUGGAGAUGGUUAUUGCACUGUGACUGAAGAUGUUACAUGGGAAGUUUCAAUACAGAGAAGAAAAACAAGCCUGAGGUUGGGAGUUUAGGCCUGAAAUGCUGGUUCUCACUGAUCGCCGCAGUGGGUGCAAUGCAAGAAACCAAACAAAAGCUGGAAAAAUAAUUGGUGCCCGAACCCCCAUCUUUUCCCCAGGUAGAAGGUAAUCAGGACAAAAGCGUGUCCCGCAGCCGCAUGGCGAACAGCCUGCCGUCACACCAGUAGCGAAGGAUGCGAGCGUGCCAGUCUGCUGUAUGAACCGAUAACGCAAUCGGGGGGCGAGCUCUGACAAGGAGCCUUAUGCUGCAUUUUUGUUCCGUGCAGCACGACGUCAUGGAAAAGCCACAUCGCCUAAAUAAUCAGUGUCUGUGUCUCGCUAGCUCUAGAGAGUUCCUGCUCUUCUGUCGGUGGUGAAACUCAGGAUUGCUGCAGAGCUCCUCAGUAAAAGAAUUCAUCCCGAGUCACUACAGCCUUUGCAGAAUGCUGAGCUGUAACAUGCUUGUGACACCGGUUUUUAUGGCUUGUUGAACUGAAAUGUCUCAUAGAAUGUCUAAUUAAAUGCAUUUCUCAGAAAUAACUUACAAUGUUAUCAGACCACAUCAGAAAUGUCAAGGCGAGUGACAGCUCUUCAGCCAUUAGAUUGUAUCUGUUGCACCAUCAGUAAUUACUUUCAUAAUUUCUGAGAUGCUGCUUCCUAAGUUUUAAUUUAAAAUUGAUACUGUUUUCUUUCAGAGCAUGUUUUGAAAUGGAUAUAUUCGCUAUUGUACUCCUUACAGAAAAUUUGCUAGGAGUUAGUCAUUAUUUAAAAGAGCCUGGAAGUUGUAAAAGGAUUACAAUUGAAGGGUGUAAUUUAAGAACAGUUUUCCAAAGGCAAAGAAUAGUUCUUAAAGAAUAUUUCUUUGAGAAAUCAGAAAGAAUCACUCUCAAAAGACAGAACGCUUUUAUACAAGGCAGUAAUUUUUGCUUUGUUUAGGGAUAGCUUUGUUUUCAAAUAUACUGCAAAUCUCUGAGCUAUCAGCUUUCACUCCUUCCUUUCUCUCGCCUUUACAUUCUGUAGGAAAAGCGUGAAAGAUGCCAUUAAACAGCUUCAGUCUGUCUGCCA